CUGCCAGGCAGGAAGCACACGGGCCAUGGGGUGAGCUUCGGGGUUGCCUGAUUUGGGGUCCCAGGUGCCUGUAGGCAAGCGAGAGGCUGGCGAUUCAGGGCUCAAGUCUGCGGGGACCCCCAGCAGGUCGGAGGAUCUUCAGCCAGGCUGCGUAGAGGGGUUUUCCUGACCCACUCCCCCAGUUUUAGGCUGCCGCGAUGACUUCAGCUAUUAAAAUCGCCAACGGGUCCUCAGGGGAAGCGAGCCCACAGAGGGUAAGCUCUUCUUCAGCCCGAAAUAAAUGAGCAGCCUCUGCUGAAGCUCUCCCGCAUUCGGAAUCAGCAUUUACUGCCCACGAGUGUCAGAAACACCCUACAACUGGGGAAGUGGAGGAGCCUUGUCCCAUCCAGCCCAGGGAAGUCCAUCUCCGGCGUCGCAAGGGAGAAAGACGAACUGUAGCAUCUAAACAAGGGAGCGGUGACUAAUUUGGCCUCUGACUCCGCCGAUGAGAAAAUUGCUCCCAACAAGCGCAGCGAGCCCGGCUUCAGCCCCUGAGCAAAAGAGGGCGAGUCAAAUUCCUCGAGUCAAAGUCUGGGAUGUGCUAGAAAGCCGCCUGGCUGUUCAGGCCAGGAGGAUGAAUUCAUAGUGCAGAGAACCUGAAUGAGAGCUGGGUUAGAUAACUUGCCAUUUCCCUGGCUCCAGACUCCACUCCCGGCUCUUUCCCAUUUACCCCUCCAAAGAAAAGAAUAAUAAUAAUAAU